GAUGAACGCUGACAGAAUGCUUAACACAUGCAAGUCUUUGGUGAAGCUGUGCUUGCACAGCCUAGCCAAGGCGGACGGGUGAGUAACGCGUAAGGAACUUGCCCUGCAGUCAGGGAUAACAGACGGAAACGACUGAUAAGACCUGGUAAAGUCAGGCGGACUCAUGUCCAGCCUGAUGAAAAGAGAUGCUGCAGGAGAGCCUUGCGUCCUAUUAGCUUGUUGGUGGGGUAACGGCCCACCAAGGCAAUGAUAGGUAGCCGGCCUGAGAGGGUGGACGGCCACAAGGGGACUGAGAUACGGCCCUUACUCCUACGGGAGGCAGCAGUGGGGAAUAUUGGACAAUGGGGGCAACCCUGAUCCAGCAAUUCUGUGUGCACGAUGAAGGUUUUCGGAUUGUAAAGUGCUUUCAGCAGGGAAGAAAAAAAUGACGGUACCUGCAGAAGAAGCGACGGCUAAAUACGU
rnacentral:rRNA from 1 species